AGUAGGCACGACUUCCACGUGGUAACAUCCAACGGCUGACAUUCAAACGGUAGCUGCUGACUUGGCAAAAAUAAAGGCGCGACGCUUUACCGUGAUCACAUUAAAGAGGAGCUCUUUGGUUGAGAAAGAAGAGACAUUGGAGGAAGGAAACGAUGGUGCGAUCGACAAGAACACGAAGCCGCGCGGCUGCCAGGGCGGCGCCGCCAUCGCUGAUGCGCAGGAGGAGGCGACGACGCAGACGCCGAAGAAGAAGAAGAAGACACGCCAAGCCUGCGUCAGGCGCUAGUGGAUCCUCACGGAGUGACGAGUAAAUCCAUCGCUAUCGACUCGACCGCAUCGAUGAUCUCAUCCAUAGCAAGCAAAAGAAAAUUUCUUCCAAUGUAUCAAUCCAUCGCCAGGGAAUAAAAUAGCGAGCUCGCCUCGUCGUCUUUGCUUU